GUGGGGAAUAUUGCACAAUGGGCGCAAGCCUGAUGCAGCCAUGCCGCGUGUGUGAAGAAGGCCUUCGGGUUGUAAAGCACUUUCAGCGGGGAGGAAGGCGGUGAGGUUAAUAACCUCACCGAUUGACGUUACCCGCAGAAGAAGCACCGGCUAACUCCGUGCCAGCAGCCGCGGUAAUACGGAGGGUGCAAGCGUUAAUCGGAAUUACUGGGCGUAAAGCGCACGCAGGCGGUCUGUCAAGUCGGAUGUGAAAUCCCCGGGCUCAACCUGGGAACUGCAUUCGAAACUGGCAGGCUAGAGUCUUGUAGAGGGGGGUAGAAUUCCAGGUGUAGCGGUGAAAUGCGUAGAGAUCUGGAGGAAUACCGGUGGCGAAGGCGGCCCCCUGACAAAGACUGACGCUCAGGUGCGAAAGCGUGGGGAGCAAACAGGAUUAGAUACCCCGGUAGUCC
rnacentral:rRNA from 1 species